rnacentral:rRNA from 1 species
AUGGUCUUAGCUUGCUAAGGCCGAUGGCAACCGGCGCACGGGUGAGUAACACGUAUCCAACCUGCCGUCUACUCUUGGACAGCCUUCUGAAAGGAAGAUUAAUACAAGAUGGCAUCAUGAGUCCGCAUGUUCACAUGAUUAAAGGUAUUCCGGUAGACGAUGGGGAUGCGUUCCAUUAGAUAGUAGGCGGGGUAACGGCCCACCUAGUCUUCGAUGGAUAGGGGUUCUGAGAGGAAGGUCCCCCACAUUGGAACUGAGACACGGUCCAAACUCCUACGGGAGGCAGCAGUGAGGAAUAUUGGUCAAUGGGCGAGAGCCUGAACCAGCCAAGUAGCGUGAAGGAUGACUGCCCUAUGGGUUGUAAACUUCUUUUAUAAAGGAAUAAAGUCGGGUAUGGAUACCCGUUUGCAUGUACUUUAUGAAUAAGGAUCGGCUAACUCCGUGCCAGCAGCCGCGGUAAUACGGAGGAUCCGAGCGUUAUCCGGAUUUAUUGGGUUUAAAGGGAGCGUAGAUGGAUGUUUAAGUCAGUUGUGAAAGUUUGCGGCUCAACCGUAAAAUUGCAGUUGAUACUGGAUAUCUUGAGUGCAGUUGAGGCAGGCGGAAUUCGUGGUGUAGCGGUGAAAUGCUUAGAUAUCACGAAGAACUCCGAUUGCGAAGGCAGCCUGCUAAG